UUUGCCUGAUUUUUUUCGGCUUUUGUUUUGACUGCCGAUUGCAUUACAAAUUUGGUUUGGUUUGUUUUUAUUGACAAUGGCUGCUAAAAGCGAUGUUUUGUAUAAAGUAAAUUCAAAACCAAAACGCAAAUCAAAUGCUACACACAAGCCAGCUAAGGAAAUGAAGGAGGAUGACGGUGCCAGCGGCAAUCAAAUGGAUACUUUUCAACAACAAGCACUAGAGAUACGCGAACCAGGACCUGACUUCGAUCCGUCAGCACCACCACAAGAUGGCGAAGAAUAUCUCAUGCAUAUGUUGUACGAGCGCCGAAAGUGUCCUGCCGUAAUUGCAAAGGAGCCGAAGAAGUGUAACAUGGAUAGAAUAGCUGCAGCAAUCGAGGAAAAUUUCAAGGAUGAGGAAGAGCCACUCAAAACAAUACCGUGCCAAGUUCGGCUACCUACCAAGGAGUGGAAAGACUUGCAAUUGGAGAAUUUUGAAUCAUCACGUGAAAAGAUAGUACUUCUACGUUUAGAGCUGCACAGACACAAAUAUGAGCAAUCUUUGGAGCCGCCUUUAAUUAGUGAUCCACAAGCUUGGCGUCACUUCUGUCACGGAAAUCCGCCAUUAUUAAAAAUUAUAUUGCGUUUCAGUCAACAUACAUUAGAGCAACUGCUGGAAUAUAUUUGCGAUUGGCUGCGUUGCGGAGAAGAAAAAGAAAUUCUGCAAAAUACAUCCACCGAGGAACCAAUACCUUCAACAUCGAAUGCUGCCACCAAUGAAAAUUCAGAUGAAACUGAAUUGGAUCUUGUUGAUACGGAUGCAUGGAUAGGUACUUGGUUAUAUGCUACAUUGGCUUGCCUACAUAUACCCAUCGAACCAGAAGUGCAUAGUACUUUACGCGACAUAGCACGCGUUUGCAUACGACUACGUGGGCGAGUACCAGUAACGGCUGCAACUAAGGCGGUGCCUUAUAAUUUAUUCAUACAUUUGAUAUCAAAGGCAUUUGGGCAGUUAGACUUUGCGGAAUUUGUUUGUGAAGCCUAGCUGCAAAAGCCAAUGACUUAAUAAGCGAGUACAAUAAAUAACAUAUAUAUCGUCGUUUAAAGUACAAAACCGCGUAUCAACAAAAUGUGAGUAUAUUUCAGGACGAAUGG
rnacentral:misc_RNA from 1 species